AUGAAGAUUUUGUUCACCCUAUUUCUCCUCGCUCUCACUGUAACUAGUGCCUAUGCACAGUGCAAAUUCAUUAUAUUGGUCACGACAGGAGAUAGAGAAGAUGCGGGCACCGAUGCUCGUGUAUCUCUGUCAGUGAGCACCGCAAAUGGCAAGAAGCUGGUUAUCGAGAGCCUGAAACCUUGGGGCCAGAAGGGCCACAACAACUUCGAGAAAGGCCACACCGACAAAUUUGAAGGCAGCGGUAAGUGCUUACCGUCCAAACCUUGCAGGAUGUUGCUCGAGUCUAAUGGCAAAGGUAACAAACCCGGUUGGUUUGUGGACAAAGUCGCCUUCACCCAAAUCGAGCAAAAAAAUUUGUCCCAGAAGGAGAAGACAUUCAACGUGAAUAGGUGGCUUGCACGCGAUGAGUCACCGGGUACGCUCUUUGUGGUUGUGGAUGACUGUGCCAAGUAA
rnacentral:rRNA from 1 species